GCGGGGAGGGAGGCUGUUUUCUUGGGGAAAGUUCACUGAAGUCUCGGUCAAGAGGACUGAUCAUCGCAGUGAUUUUUUUUUUUACACAAACACUCGGUGAGUUCAAGUUUUUUGUUGGGGACUGACGCAGUUCUUCAGGCAGAAAUGUGACGAAGAGUCAUUAGGACAGUCAGGAUGACAGACAGGAUGACAGACACUUCUCCACAAAUAACUAAGGCUUAUACAUUCACACAGGUACAGAGCCAAAGCUGCGCCUCUGAUACUAUCUCUGGAGGUGCAUAAGAGGUGCAGCAAAAUUUCAUCACUCGCCGUAUCUGAAAUUUUUUCUCGGAGGAGGAUGCAGAGAAUUGGAGUAGGAUCCAUGCACUCAAAGAGCAGUGUGAAUGAGGCUAAUGUGUUCGAAAAUCACGUUCACAUUACACAGCAAUUGGCCAGCUGUGCCAUGGUGUGAAAGAACACAGCGUUUAAACUCUUCUCUCAAGUCUACAACCAAACAUAUCAGCGUGAAGGCCUUCACACAGGACAUGAACAGUUAUUAGACAUGUAAAAGCCACCCACCUUUACACCUUUUGGUUUAUCGUGAAGUUCUAUAGUAGAUACUAGAUACUUUCUAAUACUAGAAAUAAUUACUGUAGUUAAUUUAACACAAAAAUGUUCUUUUUAAUCUGACAAGCACUGAGUCAAAUCCAAACAUUAUAACUGACAAUAGUCACAGAUAAUGGUAAUUACAAAGGCAGAGAGAAUAUUCCUAUUCCAAGCUCUUACUAUCUUCCUCACUUGUCCUGUGAAAGACCUUAACAUUUACUGUUUUAAGUGGUGUCCCCCACAAAAUCGAUUUCAUUUAGCACCAUCAUCAACAUUUCAUUUCAUAGGGGGUAGACCUGGUUUUCAACUAUUAGUGAUCCAGGAGACUGAAAACCAUCAACUGAAACUGAUAUUGUCAGUUAAAGUUGAGAAUAAUCAGUGAUUGAAUGUGACCAUUACAAUUUACACAAUAACUGUACUUUUUGUGCGUACAAUUUUGAGGCACUAUAUUUCAGUAUUUUCAAUUUCCUUCAUCUAUUUGAUUUAGUCAAUAGUUACUUUGCCAGUUCAUAUUAUUCAGCGCUAAACGGCAUGACAUCAGAUGACCAGUGUUGUGGACACUGAGACCACAGUGUGGUGGCCACCAACAGAGAAAUUAAGCUGGAUCAGAUCCAAAGUACUACAUUUAUAAAUAUAUUUAUUUUAUCGGUUAUAAGUUUCUCCUGUUUUCACUUUGGUUUAUGUCAAAGAAGAUUAGCAAAUCACAUUGUUUUAUUUAUGCUUGACACAGCAUCCCAACCUUUUGGGAAUCUGGGUUGUAAAUACAGCAUUUGCCAAAGCUUGCAUUCAUUAAUUUUAACAGUAUCGAGCUCUAUGCCUUUCGAAAACAGCAUGAUUAUGUGGAUGCAUUCAUUUUUUAAUUAGUUCUAAGUCAAACCACAGAGAGAUACAAGACAAAAACAAGUGCGGUAAACACAACUUUCACUACAUCUUCACGUCAUGCUCUUCAUCCCCCCUCAUUUGCUUCCACCUUUGUCUUUACCACUAUUCCAAAUAAAUGGGAGAGUGAAUUUCAGGCAUAAUGCAUCCUGUCAUUUGAACUCUGUACUGUCAGUUUAACAAAAUUUAGCUCAGACAACAGGCUCACCCUGAGCUCACUCAAUCAUCUGUCAUUACCACAUUUGUCACAGAGCUUUGGGCAUAUGACAGCGCACACUGAAAAACACUGUGCUUUCGCCGAAAAAAGGUGCUUUCUUUUAUACCUCCUUGCAAAUGACAGAUGACUUAAUAGUAGUGGAUUGAAGACAAAAUGACUGAGAAAGGCGGUAAAGGCAGGGAAGUUGCAAUUAAGAAAAUGUAUAAUAAAAGACAGCGCUUGUUGGAGACACUGUG